GCCCGGCUAGCUCAGCCGAUAGAGCAUGAGACUCUUAAUUUUAGGGUCGUGGGUUCGAGCCCUACGAUGGGCG